rnacentral:lncRNA from 1 species
GUGUAAUUACUAUUAUCAGCAUCUAGAAAGCAUCAUGAAUUUGCUGGAGUACUUCCUAGCACUGACCUCCUUCAUUCUGCGUUGUUCUUACUGGAUCUUUCCAUCAGCCAACAAUAUGGAAGUACCAAUACAAGGUCAAAUCAUUCCUGGAUUCAUCUGGAGUUGCUUAAAAGUUAAAUCAUUGGAAUUUUUGAUGAUACCUUUUCUAUAUGGAUUACAAUUUGAUCGCUGGGAAUUCUCCACCUUAAAGAAGUACCCUCAGGUGACUACAGAUGUGUUAACACCCAGCAUGUUCCGGUAGGAGACUUUCUGGAUGGGGAAGAUUUCCAGGAAUUGGCAACAAGCUCAUUUCACUGGUGGGUUUGCUGAAGCAUUAUCACAAGACAGUCAGAAUGACUGAUGAGUGCUCUUCAGGUGUGAAUCAUGGCAAUACAGUGAAAGACAGUGAUUUACUGCUUUUGAGGGCGUGCAUGUAUAUGAUUAACGGAUGGAAGUGCAGGACUCCAAGAUUUACUUCCUUCCCUUUCCAGCAGAAUUACCUGAGACGAGUAAAAUCUACUGGUGGAGUCACUCCAUUAUUCUUAUCUGUGGAGAUCUAGAUCUUGAUUUGAAAGUUUCUGAGAAAAUCUUCAGCUCAGACUUGAGGGUCAACUUUACCAGCUGAAGGAUCUGCAUUUACUGCUCAACCACAUCUAAUUUGAUGUCCUCUGCAGAUUUAAAAUGUGUGCCUUCUUUUCCGUCACCAAGUCAUCCCUGGGUUACUACUGAACAUCCUUCUCAAUUCCCCCCGACCCAUGGAUGGCUGUUCUCCAUUGUCUGUUUCACCAGAUGUCCUCAAAACAAACAGACAGAAGAAGGAAGUGGCUAAUGGAGCUGUGGAGUCCAAGUGUGACUGCCAAGAGGAAUCCAGCAAAGCCAAAAAGCCCAAGCAUGUAGCCCUGCCCGAAGCACGCCACACGCAUGGAAAACCCAGAGGAAAUGAGUGAGGAUCAAUGGGAAGAAGAGAGCCAGCCAGGAAGUUGAAGAUUUGUCCAGGAGCAGAUAGCUGAAGAGAGAGAGAGAGAAGAGAGAACGGCUUACAGCUCAGGUCCUCUCUCCAUGCUUAGGAACCACUACAAAUGCUACUGCCUUGAGUCUCAUUUUGUUUCCCUCUGGAAACCACAUGUGUACCUUGUUUGCAACAGUAUGGUUCUCGAUCUACACAUAGGCUGGAAUGCAGUGGUGUUGGUGUGAUAAGGGUCAGUGCAGUCUCAACCUCCUGGGCUCAAGUGAUCCUCCUGCCUCAGCCUUUUGAGUAGCUGGGACCACAGGCUCACAGGCAGAAGGAAUUUUCCUUGUCUUGGAUGAGACUUUUGACUUGGACUUUUGGGUUAAGUUCUGGAGACCAGAAGGCCAAAAUCAAAAGUAUGGGCAGGCUUGAUUUCUUUAGAAGACUCCAGCGGAGAACUGUGUCUCCUUGCUUCUGAUUCUACAUCUCCAUCCAUGGGCCACUGUUUCAGCAACCUCAGCCAGUGCAACACAACCUCAGCCAAGAAGAGUAUGCAGAGAAAGGAGUCCCCUACCUGCCACAAAACUGUUGUCUGAAAACUGUCUCAUAUUGUCUCAAGUUGUCAUUCAUUGUGAAUUAGACCUGUUUAACAUGUAAUCUGCAACAUGCUUCACUGUCUAAUUUUCCAGAGCCCCUCAUAUAAGGAACUGUAUUAUUGGUAUAAUCAUCAUGGUGAAGAAGUUGGUAUGUGGGGGAGAGAUGACAGAAACAGAGAGUAAGUCAGAGCUGGCUGCCUGACAGAUAAAAAGGAAAUGACC